rnacentral:lncRNA from 1 species
UUCUCUAUAUUAUUAUGGAAUUAACAAUCACUAGCAAAUGCUGAAUCGUAACUAUCCCUCUUCUGCACAUGGUUUCAUAGAAGAAGAGUAACUACAAUACUUGCAUUCAAGAAGUAAAAAUGGAAUGUAAAACCAUACUGCGAGUGAUGCUGAUUCCGUAUAGAAUUAAGAGAGAUGGAUAAGAAUUCAGCAAAGUAACGAUCUUAAGCAAAAAUUUCAUACGAAAUUAUACUGCAUAGUAGCAAUGGAAUUUUGCGGUUAUAAAGGAGUACGGUGCAACCUCUUCCAAGAAUAUGAUACGAAUAUUUUCCUAUUCCAGGUAUGUUAAAGCUAAUACUUCAUUUUAACAUGAUCCAAGUAAUGAUACAUAAACGUAAUGCUAUUUCAUAAGUGUUUCUACUCUUAGAAGUUAAGGAUGUCUACGUUAUUCAUUCUUGUAAAGUGAUAUUCAAGCUUGUGUAAGUAUGUUUCUAGUUCCAUGUUGAGGUAUUUGAUAAAGAUGUUAACAUUAAUAGUAUUGUGAUAAACGCAUCUUCAUUUACCACCGAGCUACGGCCGGUCAGGAAGUUACCACCGGUUGGAUAGUUAUGUAUCAUUAUUUACCACUGGUUGGCCAGUCAUGUAUAUUCAUUUACCACCGGUUGGGUAGUUAUAUAUCAUUUUUUUCCACCGGUUGGGCAGUCAUGUAUAUUCAUUUACCACCGACCUACGGCCGGUCGGACAGUCAUGCAUUUACCAUCGCACUACGGCCGGUCGUGUAGUUACUACUUAUCAGUUGGGUAGUCAUGCAUCAUACGAUAUGGAUAAUAGAUUCAAAGAGAAGCAUUAUAUAUAUAAGUGUAAGUAUGCAUAUACAAUGGCACUUCAGAGAAUCAGGCUGAUUCUUAUAUGUCUUUAAUUAAUGUUGACUUAUUGUUACGUUUCGGUUCUGCCUUAGAUACUCAGUACAUUAUUCGUACUGACGUUCUUUUUUUGGAGACACUGCAUUCAUGCCAGCAAGUAUAGAUAAUCAGUUUGACGAGCCCUCAUAGUAGACGAGAUUGGCAUUCAACAAAGGAUCGGUAAGAGUUUACUUCAUUCGGAGUACAACCGAGUCUACGAGUCAUCGUGUCAGAGUUUUGCUAAAGACUUAUGGGUAGACCGGUACCCUAUCUCAUUUGAUAUCAAAUAAUAAAAGCUUUGUUUAUUUUUGAAUAUGGUAAAUUAUACACAUUAUAUAAGAAAGUUUAUGAGAUUUUCUUUAUUGUAAAGAUGAAAAUUAUUAUUUUUACAAGAAAAAGAGGUUAUCUUUUUACCAUUUUAAGAAUUAAGCGUAUGAGAAUUAUUUUCUCUUUAUAUGAGAUUAGGAAAAUUAUAGGUUGAGAAAAUAUAUGUAUUUUUACAUGAAUGUUUUAAUAAAAAUAAUAGUGUAUGUAUUUAUUUUAUAUGGUACCAUAUGAUCAUGAUCGUAUAAUGUAUAAAGUAUAUUAAAAAUAAGUAGAAUUUUAAGUAAUUUGAGAUAAUUCAUAAUUAUGCGGAUAAUUGGUUAAUUACCGGAUAGCGAGAUAUUACCUAAUUAAUUAAUUGAUUAUUGGAUAAGAUUAAUAUCCCCACCCACCCCACGUGGCGGCAAGCCACUAAACCAAACAAAUGACUCUUACUCCCUUUUAAUAUGGUGGCCAUCUAAAGUAAUGUAGAUAUGACACUUACGUAAAGGUUUGGCUUCAUUUUGACUUAAAAUAAUCAAGUGAGAGAUCUUAUACCUUCUCCCUAAUUCAAGACUUAAAAAGAUCCUAUUUAUUUGUUCCUAUAUAUUAGAUACCAAUAUUCUCUAUGUUAUUAUGGAAUUAACAAUCACUAGCAAAUGCUGAAUCGCAACUAUCCUUCUUCUGCACAUGGUUGCAUUGAUGAAGAGCAACUACAAUACUUGUAUUUAAGAAGUAAAAAUGGAAUGUAAAACCAUAACGCAAGUGAUGCUGAUUCCGUAUAUAAUUAAGAGAGAUGGAUAAGAAUUCAGCAAAGUAACGAUCUUAAGCAAAAUUUUCAUACGAAAUUAUGUUGCAUAUUAGCAAUGGAAUUUUGCGGUUCUAAAGGAGUACGGUGCAAUAUCUUCCAAGAAUAUCAUACGGAUGUUUCCCUACUCCAGCUAUGUUAAGACUAAUCCUUCAUUUUGGUAUGAUCCAAGUAACGAUACGUAAAUGAAAUGCUAUUUCAUAAGUGUUUCUACUCUUAGUAGUUAAGGAUGUCUACAUUAUUCAUUCCUGUAAAGCGAUAUUCAAGCAUAUCUAAGUAUGUUUCUAGUUCUAUGUUGAGGUAUUUGAUAAAGAUGUUAAUAUUAAUAGUAUUGUGAUAUACGCAUUUUCAUUUAUCACCGAGCAAAGGCCAGUCGGGCAGUUACCACCGGUUGGGUAGUUAUGUAUCAUUAUUUACCACCGGCUGGGCAGUCAUGUAUAUUCAUUUACCACCGGUUGCACAGUUAUGUAUCAUUAUUUACCACUGGUUGAGUAGUCAUGUAUAUUUAAUUACCACCGAGCUAUGGCCGGUCGGGCAGUCAUGCAUUUACCACCGCGCUACGGCCGGUCGGGCAGUUACCACUGAUCAGUUGGGCAGUCAUGCAUCAUAAGAUAUGGAUAAUAGAUUCAAAGAGAAGUAUUAUAUAUAUAAGUAUAAGUAUGCAUGUACGAUGGCACUUCAGAGAUUUAGGAUGAUUCUUAUAUGUCUUUAAUUAAUGUUGACUUAUUGUUACGUUUCGGUUCUGCCUUACAUACUUAGUACAUUAUUCAUACUGACUUCCUUUUUUUGGGGACGCUGCAUUCAUAUCUGCAGGUAUAGAUAAUCAGUGUGACGAGCCCUCAUAGUAGACGAGAUUGGCAUUCAGCAAAGGAUCGGCAAGACUCCACCUCAUUCGGAGUGCAGCCGAGUCUAUGAGUCAUCGUGUUAGAGUUUUGCUAAAAACUUAUGGGUAGACCGGUACCCUAUCCUAUUUGAUGUCAAAUAAUAGAGGAUUUGUAGACAGAGGUUCAUUUUGUACAGUAUUUCAGAGGCCUUGACGGCCCAUAUGUAUUUUAGUGAAACAGUGUUGCCCACUUUUAGUUAUACAUUAUGAGUUGUGGCCAUGUUGCCCCAUGAUAGUUACAAAAGGAAUGAGUUCAGCCAACUCGACCUAUGUAUGUUCUAGUUUUGGUCGAAUGAUCAUGAGUUACAGAGUGGUUGGCUCGGGCCAGCUCGACACCGGGUGCCAUCCAUUUUACCAUUUUAAUAAUUAAGCAUUAUGAGAAUUAUGGGAUGUAUAUAUUAAGAGAAUUAAGAGAGAUGGAUAAGAAUUCAGCAAAGUAACGAUCUUAAGCAAAUAUUUCCUACAAACUUAUACUGCAUAGUAGCAAUUGGAUUUUGCGGUUCUAAAGGAGUACGGUGUAACAUCUUUCAAGAAUAUCAUACGGAUGUUUCCCUACUCCAGGUAUGUUAAGGUUAAUCCUUCAUUUUGUCAUGAUCUAAGUAACGAUACGUAAACGUAAUGCUAUUUCAUAAGUGUUUCUACUCUUAGCAUUUAAGGAUGUCUACGUUAUUCAUUCCUAUAAAGCGAUAUUCAAGCAUGUCUAAGUAUGUUUCUAGUUCCAUGUUGAGUUAUUUGAUAAAUAUGUUAAUAUUAAUAGUAUUGGGUAGUUAUGUAUCAUCAUUUACCACCGGUCGGACAGUCAUGUAUAUUCAUUUACUACCGGUUGGGGAGUUAUGUAUUAUUAUUUACCACCGGUUGGGCAGUCAUGUAUAUUCAUUUACCACCGAGCUACGGCCGGUCGGGCAGUCAUACAUUUACCACCGCGCUACGGCCGGUCGGGCAGUUGCCACUGAUCAGUUGGGCAGUCAUGCAUCAUACGAUAUGGAAAAUAGAUUCAAAGAGAAGUAUUAUAUAUAUAUAUAAGUAUAAGUAUGCAUAUAUGAUGGCACUUCAGAGAUUCAGGCUGAUUCUUAUAUGUCUUUAAUUAAUGUUGACUUAUUGUUACGUUUCGAUUCUGCCUUAUAUACUCAAUAUAUUAUUCUUACUGAUGUCCUUUUUUUGGGGAUGCUACAUUUAUGCCUACAGGUAUAGAUAAUCAGUUUGACGA